rnacentral:rRNA from 1 species
AUUAUCAAAUUUUCAACUUGAGAGUUUGAUCCUGGCUCAGAACGAACGCUGGCGGCAGGCUUAACACAUGCAAGUCGAGCGCCCCGCAAGGGGAGCGGCAGACGGGUGAGUAACGCGUGGGAACGUACCAUUUGCUACGGAAUAACUCAGGGAAACUUGUGCUAAUACCGUAUGAGCCCGAAAGGGGA